rnacentral:rRNA from 1 species
AACGAACGCUGGCGGCAUGCCUAACACAUGCAAGUCGAGCGCGCCCUUCGGGGUCAUCCGCGGCCGGGUGAGUAACGCGUGGGAACGUUCCCUUCUCUGCGGCCUACCUUCGGGAAACUGAGAGUAAUACCGCACACGCCCUUUUGGGGAAGGAUUUAUCGGAGAAGGUUCGGCCCGCGUUGGAUUCGGUAUUUGGUGGGGUAAUGGCCCCCCAAGCCGACGAUGCAUAGCUGGUUUGAGAGGAUGAUCAGCCACACUGGGACUGAGACACGGCCCAGACUCCUACGGGAGGCAGGAGUGGGGGAUGUUAGACAAUGGGGGCAGCCCUGAUCGAGCCCUGACGCGUGAGUGAUGAAGGCCUUAGGGUUGUAAAGCUCUUUCAGCUGGGAAGAUAAUGACGGUACCAGCAGAAGAAGCCCCGGCUAACUCCGUG